rnacentral:rRNA from 1 species
UACGAAGGGGGCUAGCGUUGCUCGGAAUCACUGGGCGUAAAGGGUGCGUAGGCGGGUCUUUAAGUCAGGGGUGAAAUCCUGGAGCUCAACUCCAGAACUGCCUUUGAUACUGAAGAUCUUGAGUGCGGGAGAGGUGAGUGGAACUGCGAGUGUAGAGGUGAAAUGCGUAGAUAUUGGGAGGAACACCAGUGGCGAAGGCGGCUCACUGGACCGGUUCUGACGCUGAGGCGCGAAAGCGUGGGGAGCAAACGGG